UUCCAGACUCCUACGGGAGGCAGCAGUGGGGGAUAUUGGACAAUGGGGGGAACCCUGAUCCAGCGACGCCGCGUGAGUGAAGAAGUAUCUCGGUAUGUAAAGCUCUAUCAGCAGGGAAGAAAGAAAUGACGGUACCUGAUUAAGAAGCCCCGGCUAACUACGUGCCAGCAGCCGCGGUAAUACGUAGGGGGCAAGCGUUAUCCGGAUUUACUGGGUGUAAAGGGAGCGUAGACGGCAGCACAAGUCUGGAGUGAAAUGCCGGGGCUUAACCCCGGAACUGCUUUGGAAACUGUGCAGCUAGAGUGCAGGAGAGGUAAGUGGAAUUCCUAGUGUAGCGGUGAAAUGCGUAGAUAUUAGGAGGAACACCAGUGGCGAAGGCGGCUUACUGGACUGUAACUGACGUUGAGGCUCGAAAGCGUGGGGAGCAAACAGGAUUAGAUACCCUUGUAAG
rnacentral:rRNA from 1 species